UGGCCUUGACAUACUAAGAACUUUCCAGAGAUUGGGAUUUGGUGCCUUCGGGAACUUAGAUACAGGUGCUGCAUGGCUGUCGUCAGCUCGUGUCGUGAGAUGUUGGGUUAAGUCCGCAACGAGCGCAACCCUUUUCCUUAUUUGCCAGCGGGUAAUGCCGGGAACUUUAAGGAUACUGCCAGUGACAAACUGGAGGAAGGCGGGGACGACGUCAAGUCAUCAUGGCCCUUACGGCCAGGGCUACACACGUGCUACAAUGGUCGGUACAAAGGGUUGCUACCUCGCGAGAGGAUGCUAAUCUCAAAAAGCCGAUCGUAGUCCGGAUCGCAGUCUGCAACUCGACUGCGUGAAGUCGGAAUCGCUAGUAAUCGCGGAUCAGAAUGCCGCGGUGAAUACGUUCCCGGGCCUUGUACACACCGCCCGUCACACCAUGGGAGUUUGUUGCACCAGAAGUAGGUAGUCUAACCGCAAGGAGGACGCUUACCACGGUGUGGCCGAUGACUGGGGUGAAGUCGUAACAAGGUAAGCGUAGAUGA
rnacentral:rRNA from 1 species